CAAGACAGUGUCAAGGAGGCGGGGCUGAGUUGCUGAAGUGCCAUAGCAGCUCAACUUCAUUGUAUGAUAUCUGCAAAGGCCCUCAGCUUUACAAAAGGUUGAGGAUCAGCUGACAAAGUGAGGAGCCAAUGAUGUCCGAGCGCCAGACUCUGCAGAAGGAAACCACAGCGACCUGGACUAGAUAACUGGACAUGGAGAGUCUGCGGAUGAACACUUCUACACAGGAUAGUGAGACUGUGGCGCUUCCAGGAGAAGAAUAGAUUGAUGGAAAGUCAUUGUAUUGUUUUUCAGUAGAUUUAUUAGAGUAUCAAGGCUGCAAUGUUCUAAAUAGCAACAAGAUUUUAUACAUUUAUAUCUAUUUCAUUCAACUGCAUAUUAGGGAUUUCAAGUUAUUUGGUGUAAUGUAGACCUCCUAAUGCCUCACAUCUGGACAUGUGGCUGUAAAACAGAUGCAAAAAAAUGCACCAUAUUACAUCUAUGUACAAAGGGUCUUAGCGUUAUGAUGCAGUUUUGAUGUAACUUUUUGAGACAAAGCCAGGAGUGAAUGAAAUAUAUAUAGGUACUAUAAGGUUGUGUCAAUGUAAGAUGGAAAGAUUUGUGCAGGUAAAGUCACAGUGGCCGAAGCAUGGGAAUUUUGGUUUGGAUUUGUUGCUAAUUUUCCACUGUGAAUGUUAAAGGAGUUUUCCAGGAAUCAAAAAACAAAGAUAAUUACUUUCAAAAACCGCUCCCUAUCUAUAUCCAGAUUGGAUGUAGUUCUGCAGCUCAGUUCUAUUGAAGUGAAUGGAGCCAUGUUUUUAUACCACACCCAACCUGAAGACAGACAGGGAACGGUUUUUGAAAGUAAUUAUCUCUGUUUUCUGAUUCCUGGAUAACCCCUUCAAGUGCGGAUGUGGAUCCUUUCCUGCAGCAACAUGUGGAUUCAUUCCUACAGUAACAUCCUUAACAGUCUGUUUUGUUGGUAGCCGGCAAUAUUUGUUUAAAUGCUUUUUUUUUCCAGGCAGCUGCUUAGAUUUCAAAGAAAUUAGCACUUUAACCCCUUCCCUCAGAAUGAAUUAUAAAAACGUUAGAUAAUGCAGCUAGUUUGCGCAUCCUGGCUUUUAUAUAAGUCAUUCAGUUAACCGGACGAUGCUCGGCAUCACAAGGGUUAACAGGCAGAAGCCCCGCUGUUACAAGUUCUGCAACACACCCCAGGACCAUCUGUGAAUGGUCCUGGUCAGCAAUCACCGUGAUUGGUCCCUGUGGACCAAUCACAGUGUCUCAGCUGACUGAGGGGGGGGGGUUGAAAGUUCAGAUCCCCCGCUCUGCCUUCCCCUAGAAGUCCGGGCAGAUCAUGGGAAGAUGAACCUGAGAGCUGCGGGGGGCAAUGUGGUGGGGAGGACAUACCUGAGGACCGGCGCAACUCUGGGGACCUGCGGCCAGCAA